GAUGUUUUGACUGCAGUGAGAGAGGCCCAACUCAGCGGGGGGCUCACGGUGUAAAAAAGGGGGGUGAAUGUGAUCCAUACCCGAAUACCCCAACCAAGGAGCAACUUCCAAAGAAGCUGAGAAGUGAACCAUCAAUGAGCCAGCUACAGGAUCUCACAGUAUUUGACAAAGAAGCUCGGAAUCGUCUGUGGCUGAUGAUUGAGAGAGCAAGGAAGGAAGGGAAAAGUGCAUACUUUGCGGGAGCCAAGGCUUUUGAUAAUGGAAGGGAAAUUCACGCUGACUCCUAGCUUGUUGACUGCUGGAUUUAUCAAAUACUGCGUUUUGGAAGUGUCAAUGCGCCGACAGAGAUGGCCGCCUCGCUUCGCGUUCCAAGGAAUGAUAUUUGGUUUUCAUUUGGUACUAAUCGGUCAGCAGGUGUCGCUAUUUUAAAAGGCAACUUUAAGGGUCAUAUAUAUUGAGUCAUGAAGCAGAUAAUACAGGGAGAUGGAUUAUACUAUUGGUAGAUGUCAACCACAUUCAAUUCAUUGUUGUACAUACUUAUGCUUCCAAUAACAAGUCAAGUAACUGUAUUUUAUUUAGAGACAUUGAGAGGAUAAUAAGUAAAAUUAUGUCUAAAUUUCCAUUGGCCAAAGUAAUAUGGGGUGGAGAUUUUAAUACAGUAUUACAUGAUAAUCUAGAUAGAUGGCCUCCUAAGGAUAGCAAUUCUGUUUGUGAGAUAAGGAAUAUAAGUCUAAGGUUAGGUGUUCUAGAUAUUUGAAGACAUAAGAACACAGAUAAGAUUAUGUUUAUACCAAAGAUUUAUCUAUACAAUCCCGUAUUGAUUUCUGGCUGAUAUGGUUGAUACAAUCUUGAUUGAACCAUCGAUUUUAACAGACCACAAAGGGAUCUCAAUAGAGAUAAAUAUGCAUGGUUUGUCAACAACAAAAAGUUACUUAAGGUUACUGGAAAAUGAACAAGACUUUACUAGAGAAGGAAGUAUUUAAAAUUGAAGUAGCAGGAAUUAUUGAUAAAUACUGGAAUUGUGCCUGUGUUAUGAAUAUGUUUGGAAGUUACUAGGAGCUAAUGCAAUUUGAUAAAGGCUUUUGGCUAUUUCAAUGGGGAAAGAAAUUGCUUGUGCCAAGAGAGAGAAAGAAUAUGACAUCAUAAAGGGAAUAAUGGAUUAUACAAAAAAAAAGUGAACUAACCAGCAAUUACUGGAGCUAUCAUCAUUGCAAAUGCAGUUAGACUGUAUCUACGAGGAAAAGGCCCGGGGAGCGUUUGUAAGAUCAAGACGAAAAUGGAUGGAAGAGGGAGAGAAAAAUACAAAAUAUUUCUUUAAUUUAGGAAGAAGGGCAGGCGAAAAGACUUCCAUAUGUAAAUUAAUGAUUAAUAAUACUUCCAAAGAAAAUCCAAAAUAAAUCUCUCAGCAUGUUGCCCAGUUUUAUCAGAAUCUGUAUACAUCAGCCCGGUCAACUUCCAAUAUGGAUCUUUUCUUAGACAAUGUAGCCAACAUUGCUAAGAAGAUAGAUAAUGAUUUCAGGGAUUUUUGUGAUGAUGAGUUAUCUGAAAUUGAGAUAAAAGACUAUUAAAAGCCUUAAGGACAAUAGGUCCCCUGGAAAUUAUGGUUUAAUAAGCAAGUUUUAUAAAGCAUUCAAUGAUAAAUUGAUUCCUUUCAUUCUUGCUAUGUUUCAAGUAGAGGUCGACCGAUUUAUGAUUUUUCAACGCCGAUACCGAUUAUUGGAGGACCA